GUGUGAUCAUAUUUUGUUUUUUGGACACUCAGUUCCUGUUUUUGCACUUCCUGGUUUGUUUUGUUACCAUAGCAACUCAUUAGUUUUCACCUGUCCUCAUGUCUCGCACCUGUUUUCACUGAUUAUGUCACCGCUAUUUAAGCGGUCUGUUUCUGUUCUUCGUCCAGGCAACAUUUCACCGUCUACCACCGUCUACCACCCUCUAUCACCCUGGAUACUUUUACCCACGUCAUGCUAAGCUACCUCCACUCUGCUUCAUGUCAUGUUUACAGUUCCAUGCCAAGACAUAUUGAAGAAAGAAAAAAAAGACUAGAGUUGAGGCGGACAGGCCCUUCAGACGUGAGUGCGGACAAGGUGCGAUGAGUUAAACGUUCCUGUCGUCGUCGUCGUCGCUACAGUUCCACAGACUCGUGUCAGCGCGUCCUGAGAAAAGUCCAGAAGAGAAAAGCAGGACAAUCACGUGGUGGAAAUGAAGAAAACAACGUGAUCUUCAUCUCUUUAUACGCACAAGUACUACAGGUCAGAACUACAGGACUGAAGCCUCACCUCAGUCAGCCGCUGGGAGGAGAAGAAGGGCAAAGGGUUUAGUGGCGGCAUCGACCUCACUGUGGGUCUGUGGCGCUCAUCAAAGACCCCAAACGCACUUUCACAUGGAGAAGAACCGCCCAGACCGCCGUGCCGGGCUAAUUAUCAGCGAGGUUUUCUGGAGAGCUUCUCCGUGAGACAUGUGGAGUCUCAGCAGAUAGUCACAUGUGCUCUUCUUCUUCUUCUUCUCGUCGGGACACCUCGGGGUUGGAAGGUCAGAUCCUCCACCACCUCAGAGACCAGGCCACAUAAAAUGAUGUGGCGGGCCAGAUCCAGCCCCCGGGCCUAGAGUGUGACACCAGCGUGGCAGAUUGCAGACAUGGACGGAGGACAGAGGACGUCAUGAAGCGUAAGCAAUAAGCCUUCACUCUGCAAACAUUCUCCACUUCUCCAUUCAGUCGCUUCGGAAGUCUUUCAUUCACAAGCGGGCGGCGGGAGGAAGAGGAAGAGGAGGAAGAGGAAGGGGCCCUCGCUCUUCCUCUUUCUGACACUCACUAACGUUCCGUGUCGCAAAUACAUGUGCAGACCAGAGCGCAGCAUUGUUGCGCAACAUGUCCUUUUGUUGGCCACACGCCGGGACAAAAGGUCUCAUGCCGGUCACUGACUUUGACACCUGUCUAUGGGACUGACCUUUAGUGUUUGAUCUGUUCAAAUUUAGCCAGCCAGAAAGAGUUGAGUUGAUUGGCAACAUUAAACGUGUGAAUGUUGUCUAUCUGUGUUGGCCCUGUGAUGAGGAGGCCACUUGCAGCUGGGAUAGGCUCCAGCACACCCCGCCACCCCGAAAGGGACAAGUGGUAGGAAAUGGAUGGAGUUUUAUUGUAUCCAGCCUUUCUCAGGACACAUACAUGUAA